UCGGGAAUAUUGCGCAAUGGAGGAAACUCUGACGCAGUGACGCCGCGUAUAGGAAGAAGGUUUUCGGAUUGUAAACUAUUGUCGUUAGGGAAGAGAAAGGACAGUACCUAAGGAGGAAGCUCCGGCUAACUACGUGCCAGCAGCCGCGGUAAUACGUAGGGAGCGAGCGUUAUCCGGAAUUAUUGGGUGUAAAGGGUGCGUAGACGGGAUAACAAGUUAGUUGUGAAAUCCCUCGGCUUAACUGAGGAACUGCAACUAAACUAUUAUUCUUGAGUGCAGGAGAGGUAAGUGGAAUUCCUAGUGUAGCGGUGAAAUGCGUAGAUAUUAAGGAGGAACACCAGUGGCGAAGGCGGCUUACUGGACGGUAACUGACGUUGAGGCUCGAAAGCGUGGGGAGCAAACAGGAUUAGAUACC
rnacentral:rRNA from 1 species